rnacentral:tRNA from 3 species
GGGGCUGUAGCUCAGUUUGGGAGAGCGCCUGCUUUGCAAGCAGGAAGUCAGGAGUUCGAUCCUCCUCAGCUCCA